AGAGGAAGGUGGAUCAACAGAGAGAAGAGAACUACAUGUCUCUAAAUAGUGGAAGAGAGGAAGGUGGAUCAACAGAGAGAAGAGAACUACAUGUCUCUAAAUAGUGGAAGAGAGGAAGGUGGAUCAACAGAGAGAACUACAUGUCUCUAAAUAGUGGAAGAGAGGAAGGUGGAUCAACAGAGAGAAGAGAACUACAUGUCUCUAAAUAGUGGAAGAGAGGAAGGUGGAUCAACAGAGAGAAGAGAACUACAUGUCUCUAAAUAGUGGAAGAGAGGAAGGUGGAUCAACAGAGAGAACUACAUGUCUCUAAAUAGUGGAAGAGAGGAAGGUGGAUCAACAGAGAGAACUACAUGUCUCUAAAUAGUGGAAGAGAGGAAGGUGGAUCAACAGAGAGAAGAGAACUACAUGUCUCUAAAUAGUGGAAGAGAGGAAGGUGGAUCAACAGAGAGAAGAGAACUACAUGUCUCUAAAUAGUGGAAGAGAGGAAGGUGGAUCAACAGAGAGAAGAGAACUACAUGUCUCUAAAUAGUGGAAGAGAGGAAGGUGGAUCAACAGAGAGAAGAGAACUACAUGUCUCUAAAUAGUGGAAGAGAGGAAGGUGGAUCAACAGAGAGAACUACAUGUCUCUAAAUAGUGGAAGAGAGGAAGGUGGAUCAACAGAGAGAACUACAUGUCUCUAAAUAGUGGAAGAGAGGAAGGUGGAUCAACAGAGAGAACUACAUGUCUCUAAAUAGUGGAAGAGAGGAAGGUGGAUCAACAGAGAGAACUACAUGUCUCUAAAUAGUGGAAGAGAGGAAGGUGGAUCAACAGAGAGAACUACAUGUCUCUAAAUAGUGGAAGGUGGAUCAACAGAGAGAACUACAUGUCUCUAAAUAGUGGAAGAGAGGAAGGUGGAUCAACAGAGAGAACUACAUGUCUCUAAAUAGUGGAAGAGAGGAAGGUGGAUCAACAGAGAGAACUACAUGUCUCUAAAUAGUGGAAGAGAGGAAGGUGGAUCAACAGAGAGAACUACAUGUCUCUAAAUAGUGGAAGAGAGGAAGGUGGAUGAACAGAGAGAAGAAGAGAACUACAUGUCUCUAAAUAGUGGAAGAGAGGAAGGUGGAUGAACAGAGAGAAGAAGAGAACUACAUGUCUCUAAAUAGUGGAAGGUGGAUCAACAGAGAGAACUACAAUACCAGUCAACAGUUUGGACACACCUACUCCUAACAGGGUUUUUCUUUAUUUUUUUAUAUAUUCUACAUUUUAGAAUAAUAGUGAAGACAUCAAAACUAUGAAAUAACACAUAUGGAACAUAUAAAGAGACAUUCUAGGGAAAUCCG